rnacentral:rRNA from 1 species
UCCUACGGGGAAGCAGCAGUGAGGAAUAUUGGACAAUGGGCGCAAGCCUGAUCCAGCCAUGCCGCGUGCAGGAAGACGCAUCUAUGGUGUGUAAACUGCUUUUGUACGGGAAGAAACACCCCCUCGUGAGGGGGCUUGACGGUACCGUAAGAAUAAGGAUCGGCUAACUCCGUGCCAGCAGCCGCGGUAAUACGGAGGAUCCAAGCGUUAUCCGGAAUCAUUGGGUUUAAAGGGUCCGUAGGCGGUUUGGUAAGUCAGUGGUGAAAGCCCAUCGCUCAACGAUGGAACGGCCAUUGAUACUGCCAGACUUGAAUUACUAGGAAGUAACUAGAAUAUGUAGUGUAGCGGUGAAAUGCUUAGAUAUUACAUGGAAUACCAAUUGCGAAGGCAGGUUACUACUAGUGGAUUGACGCUGAUGGACGAAAGCGUGGGGAGCGAACAGGAUUAGAUACCCCCUGGUAGA